GAUCCUGCUGGUUUGUUUUAAUUCUAUGGCAGCUCCUGCUCAAGGAUUUAGUUGUUUGACAAACAGAAAUUCAGGUGCUGUUUGACCAGGGACAUAUGCCUACACAACCAUUUCACUGCCAAGCUCUUCAAAGUUCAGUCAGAGUAAGAAAAAGAGACUGGCUCAUUCCAGUGGAGGCUUCAGAACAUCUUUCAAUUGCCCCUCUUCAAGCAGAAGUUGGUGUCAAUAGGCUCCACUGAAGUCAAUGGAGGUACGUUGAUUUGCACCAGUUCUGGAUCUGGCCAUAAAGCAUCUUAUGUACUUCAAGUCUGGAGAAGAUGAGACACGAAUGCUGGAGGAAUUACAAGACAGAGGGGCUUUACUGCAACAGUGAACAAGCUGAAAAUUACAAGGUAGCCCAGUCACAAUCCAAGCUCAGCAGGGACAAAAACCAGAGCUACACUAAUGAAAAUAACAUAACAAGCCCUCCUAGAGUAGACUGGGGAACCAACGUUAAUCCAUGUUCAGAUGAAAGAUGCACCACAAUCCAGGGACAGUCACUCUGAAUUGAUACAUGAACUCGUCGAUGGAAAGGUUACUCCCCACAGGAGGCAUUCAGGACACCCGGCUGACAAGAGCUAGGAAGGUGCUGGAUCUCAACUCUGAACAGCAAGCACCCAGCACUCCUUGCUUGGCAAAUUCAGAAUGUUUCCACCAUCAGCUACACCCUGGAUUUCAGAAGAGGUCUACAUACUGUGCCCCAUCGAAUGAAAUGAAUCAGUGUUAAUAGAAGGUGCUCAGCAUGACCCAUGGCCUCUGCUAACUAUUUCUGCUGUGGCAUGUUUCAAAGCAGGAAUGUGACUGUGAGAACUGGCAGCUGCAUAGCCCAGCCCUUUGUCAUUUGGAUUAAAGUGGAACCUUAACCUAAACCAACACUGAGGACCUUUCUUUUGGCAGGAGAGUUUCUUGGGCCUUUGGUAGAUAAUUCUCUCAGCUGUUCUGUUUCCUUCUUCCAGUUUCUUUUGGAUUGUUGUUUUCCUUCCUCUCUCCUCCAAAAUGCUCUGUCCAGCUUUAGAUACAUUUGCACAUCCUCCCUUAAUUUGAUUAGUGACAGAUGCUAUCAUCUGAUGAAAUCUAAAUUGCCUCUUCCUGUGCUAAUGAACUACUGUACUAUGUGUGUGGGGAUUUGAGAACAAGAUGGAUUUAUUAAUGAGCUCCUAAUUAAAGGAAUAGUUCCAGUGUUCUUGCCAUAUUGGGUUGAGAGGGGGGCAGGGCACAGAUCACCACUUCUAACUAAAAUCAAACAUUUAUGUCUGUACAUUUAUUUUUCA